GUCCCACCUGACCCCAUGCCGAACUCAGAAGUGAAACGCCGUAGCGCCGAUGGUAGUGUGGGGUCUCCCCAUGCGAGAGUAGGGAACUGCCAGAC
rnacentral:rRNA from 5 species